UUGAACGCUGGCGGCAUGCCUAACACAUGCAAGUCGAACGGCAGCACAGCAGUAGCAAUACUGUGGGUGGCGAGUGGCGGACGGGUGAGGAAUACGUCGGAAUCUGCCCAGUCGUGGGGGAUAACUAGCCGAAAGGUUAGCUAAUACCGCAUACGACCGAGAGGUGAAAGCGGGGGACCGCAAGGCCUCGCGCGAUUGGAUGAGCCGACGUCGGAUUAGCUAGUUGGCGGGGUAAAGGCCCACCAAGGCGACGAUCCGUAGCUGGUCUGAGAGGAUGAUCAGCCACACUGGAACUGAGACACGGUCCAGACUCCUACGGGAGGCAGCAGUGGGGAAUAUUGGACAAUGGGCGCAAGCCUGAUCCAGCAAUGCCGCGUGUGUGAAGAAGGCCUUCGGGUUGUAAAGCACUUUUAUCAGGAACGAAAAGCGUUGGAUUAAUACUCUGACGUGCUGACGGUACCUGAGGAAUAAGCACCGGCUAACUUCGUG
rnacentral:rRNA from 1 species